CGAGAACCUUACCAGGUCUUGACAUCCCCUGACAACCCGAGAGAUCGGGCGUUCCCCUUCGGGGGACAGGGUGACAGGUGUGCAUGGUUGUCGUCAGCUCGUGUCGUGAGAUGUUGGGGUUAAGUCCCGCAACGAGCGCAACCCUCGACCUUAGUUGUCAGCAUUCAGUUGGGCACUCUAAGGUGACUGCCGGCUAAAAGUCGGAGGAAGUGGGGAUGACGUCAAAUCAUCAUGCCCCUUAUGACCUGGGCUACACACGCGCUACAAUGGGCGGUACAAAGGGUCGCGAACCCGCGAGGGGGAGCCAAUCCCAAAAAGCCGCUCUCAGUUCGGAUUGCAGGCUGCAACUCGCCUGCAUGAAGCCGGAAUCGCUAGUAAUCGCGGAUCAGCAUGCCGCGGUGAAUACGUUCCCGGGCCUU
rnacentral:rRNA from 1 species